UGCCACAAUUGACGUGACUCAUCUUCCUUACGGGCUACAUCGUAAUGUAUUGCUGUAAAAAUCGUCAAACUAAAAGUAUUUUAAAAUUUUCACAAUUGCUUGUCAAUUUUACGUUUACGAUGUCAAACCAGUCCCAACAUCUGAAUUCCCCGAUUCUGAAUUAUUAAAACCCUCCCAGUUGUUGGUAAAGAAUCUCCCUAAAGAUUGCGAGCAUGUGCUCCCCUUCGUCCUCCACUUUUCCCGUAACACAAUUGACUCGCAGUUUCCAAAGAAACGGGUAUCACACGUGAUAAUAUGACGAUGAAAAAUUGUCACGGCACAACACACUGUGGUCUAACGAGAAUAAUAACGCGAUAAAAGGACCAAGGUAACCAACAUAAAAGGAUAGCCUUUAAUCGUCAGCAUUAUCGAUUGCAGUGGGUGGUGUGUGGGACGUCCCACCCACGAGGAAAGCCCACCAUUUUGUAUGCGGAACAUGUUGUCAACAGCCUCUCUGUACAUAAAGGACACAAAAGGAUGUAGUUUAUAUUUUAUACGUUGGCGGAUGCUGUGACAAACGGGAAGUACACGCCAACUAAUUUGAAUUGAAUGCUGUCAAUAACAUGCAGUUCUUCCGAAGGCGAGUUCAUCCUUUAAACUCGGUUUUUCUGCUCUAGACGUUUAGCGUAGCAACCGAAUAUUCGCAAUCGCUCCCUUUUAUGUAACCUCGUUUCGAAAAAAA